rnacentral:rRNA from 1 species
GACGAACGCUGGCAGCGUGCCUAAUACAUGCAAGUAGAACGCUGAAGGAGGAGCUUGCUCUUCUGGAUGAGUUGCGAACGGGUGAGUAACGCGUAGGUAACCUGCCUGGUAGCGGGGGAUAACUAUUGGAAACGAUAGCUAAUACCGCAUAAGAGUAGAUGUUGCAUGACAUUUGCUUAAAAGGUGCAAUUGCAUCACUACCAGAUGGACCUGCGUUGUAUUAGCUAGUUGGUGGGGUAACGGCUCACCAAGGCGACGAUACAUAGCCGACCUGAGAGGGUGAUCGGCCACACUGGGACUGAGACACGGCCCAGACUCCUACGGGAGGCAGCAGUAGGGAAUCUUCGGCAAUGGACGGAAGUCUGACCGAGCAACGCCGCGUGAGUGAAGAAGGUUUUCGGAUCGUAAAGCUCUGUUGUAAGAGAAGAACGAGUGUGAGAGUGGAAAGUUCACACUGUGACGGUAUCUUACCAGAAAGGGACGGCUAACUACGUG